CUCCUGUCCUUCUCCACUCCAUCCCCGUACCACUGUCCAGCUGCCAUAGUGCUCAGGGGACCUGCAGCCUUCUUCCCACUUCUCUUCUUCCAUCCAAGCUGCCUUGAACUCCUCACUUCCAUGUAUCUUUCCUUGUCUGGCCUCCCCUGGGUUGGAAUAUUUGUCUUCCCUUCUUUGACGCUGCAACUUGGAAAUGAAGCCCAGCCUCAGUGCCUUAGCUGAGUGCGACCACCUCCUCUAUCUCUGCUCGCCGAUGCUUCUAGCACUUGCAAUCAGUCCUGUGUCCAGACUCUGAAUCAUAGGCUGCCAGGCUUUCAGAUUCAGACUGGAACUUCACCACCAGCCUUCCUGGGCCUCAAGCUUGCAGACGGCAGAUGUGUGUUGGCUAGAACCAGCACAAUGAUGAAUGAAAGAGAAGAUUCUCUCAUCCUUCCAUCUUUGUCUCAUUGCUCAUCUCAGCAUUUUACCAUGAAGCAAGGUGUUUGCUGUGGAUUUUGUAUAGAUAGUCUUAAGCCGACUGAAGAAGUUUACCUUUAUUCCCAGUGUGCUCAGUUAUCAAUUGCUUUUCUGCAUCUGUUGAAUUGCCAUACACAUUCCACCCCUCUUUUUUGUUAUUAAUGUGGUGAAUUAAAUGAGUUGAUUUGCA
rnacentral:lncRNA from 10 species